AAUUAACGAAAGUCAGAUGACAGAGAACGACAGAAACACAGUCGAUGUGUCUUGGGUCUCCCUCUCUAGCUACUUCUUUUCUCUUCUGCAUGUUUUUGUUUGUUUGUUUCUUUCUUUUUCCUCUGUCGACAUUGAAUACACUUGCUUCAUACAUACACGCAGA
rnacentral:ribozyme from 11 species